CACACUAUCAUUAACUGAAUCCAUAGGUUAAUGAGGCGAACCGGGGGAACUGAAACAUCUAAGUACCCCGAGGAAAAGAAAUCAACCGAGAUUCCCCCAGUAGCGGCGAGCGAACGGGGAGCAGCCCAGAGCCUGAAUCAGUGUGUGUGUUAGUGGAAGCGUCUGGAAAGGCGCGCGAUACAGGGUGACAGCCCCGUACACAAAAAU
rnacentral:rRNA from 1 species